AAGCUGAACACUGUCCUCCACUGUGAAAGGCAGCUAGUUGGGGUUCUCUCCACAGAGAGUGGGAGAGUGUCUUGUUUUGCACCACAUACACCAAAUAACUGCUCCUAAAUAAAUAUACCACUUGUAUACCACCAAUUCCACAUCACAAUUUAGUUUUAAAUAUGAACUAAUCGAAGCUGGAGGAAGAGUAAGCAAGACUGUAUAUUAUUGGCUAUCAUGGUGAGACAGGCUGACUCCAUUACAGGCUUCAAACUGGCAGUUUGGGGCACUAGACCUAAAUCUCUGUUUCCAAGAAGUGGGGAAGUCCAGGCCUCAGAAGCUGCCCAGCCUCCAGGCCUGAGGUAAGCUGGAUGGGUCAGCGGCAGUUUCUAGACUUCUUCAUCAACAGUUUCCAGGCUUCCCCAGUAACAGUUUCCAGCCUUGCCCCCCUCCCCGGCCCCCAAGCCCCAGCAAUGGUUCUGGAAUGUACCUAGAGAUAGAUCCAACAGGUUAAGAUAGAGGUCACCUACCCUUCACUGGAAUUCCCCUAAUGUGCUUUAAAAUGGGCAUGUGAGCUCAUUUCAGGACCUCCACCUUGGAAGAUGGUAGACUCAGCAUGUUGGACUUACACAAAACAAAAAAAAAACAAAAAAUGCUCUCUGGUUUUGCAUACUAUGUGAGUCCAGGGUAUCAUUCUUCGGCGAAUCAUGGACCCUUAUCAUGGGUAUUAAGUUUGUUAGGGUUUCAUAUGCUCAGUAUAAUUGGUGGGACCCAGGGAGGCAGAGGGGAAGUUUUGUAUCACACGAGAUGAAAACUGAGGAGGCAAGAGAACGUGUUAACAUGGAGUGAUCCUGAAACAAGCUAACGAUUGCAGAAUUAAGGGCAUCUUUCAACUGCCAUGUGGCUUCCCACUAGUGUAGCAGAUGGGGGUGUGGGAUGUCUAUCUUUCAAAAUAGAAGUGUCCUUUAGAAAUAUGGCUCUAUUACCUGUCCUCUUUCUCCUUCACAGUGUUGGACAGGAAGUAGGGAAAUAGUUCCAGCAUUUCGUAUACCUCAGUUUUAUACUGAUCAUAUAAACUGCAACCUAAUUACUUUUCCCUGUCCUUCUACAUGACUGUCAAUUCCUUGUGCUGGAUAGUUUUUCAGUGUCUGGUUAAUAGAAAGAACUAUCACAUAUUGCACUUUACUAUCAAAUCGGGUCCCUCAAUGCCAGAGUACCCAAAUGCUGGUUUACACAGUGUUGAUUCCAGAUGUCUGUCUGAUUGUGCUGUGUUUGCAUAUUAUCUUUAUCUAAGCAGGGAGUAUAAUUCAGUGAUAGAGUGCCUGCCUAUCACACAGAGGCACUGGUCUGGAAGAAAUAUGUUUACAGGUAUAUGAAAGCAUGCAUUUCACUGUGUGCACUACUCUCACAGUGUGUCAGAACAAUGUCUUUGACAGCCGAUUGCAUCAGCAUAAGUUUGUCUCUUUUCCCUGUAUCUCCUGUUGCCAUGAUAAUACACAUGUAUGCUCAA
rnacentral:lncRNA from 1 species